AAAAAUCUUUCACAUCUCUGCCAUGUUCACGUUAGCUUCCUGGGAGUUUCACAUCUGCGCCACCUCUCCAUAUCCCUGCACCAGUGCUUGGUUCCUUAGGGUCGAGCUUCCAGCUCCACGCCAGUUCCUGGCUCGAUGUCAGCGAGCACGCCAGCCACCCGCCCCUGAACGAGCUCCCUCCACUACUCGUUAUCUGUGCUUCCACCCUGUCGCAUCCGCCCAGGCCACUGGACGCCGGCGUCGCGUUCGGCUGGUCGCGCUCGUCCUUGCCUCUGCAUCUACCAGCGCCCUACACCUGCUCAUCGCUCCCCAUCGCGCUCGACAUCAUCCCCAGCCUCACGCUGCACUCACCGGACAGCAUCCUCCUCGCCGCGUGGAGCUGCUGAAUGUGGCUCCCCAACGUCGCUGUUGCCUACUGCUCGCUCUAUAGCAGCUCGCCGGCUCCCUGGAAAUUCCCCAGCCAUCGUCCGGCUUCCUUGCCUCGCCGUUCGGUGCGUCGUCAUCCCUGCUGUCUCGUAACGUCGCGCUCCUCACACUUUAUUUCCUCUAUGUCGGUGACGCUUGCUGAAAGCCUGAAUUACGUUAUCCGUGGAUCAAUCGCUUGGUGGAGUAAUUUUCUAGAGACUGGUCAUCACCCUGAAGACUCGUGAAAUUUUAUUUCCUUAGUCCUCGGCUCUUCUCUGCAACAAAGGCAAGCCCCGGUGCAUUUGCCACCUCCUUCGAUUUUAAAAAGUUUUAUCGCCUUGAAUGAUGCAUUAGGUGAUAGGAGUUGUGUGAUCAAACAGUUGAUGCAUUUUCUUCCUUGAUUAAACAACCCUAAUACCCGUUUUAUGAAAAUUUAAUGAUGCUUAGCCCUGCUUAUUAAUUUAGGAUUGUUUUUAAAAGAUGAUGUGUAACAUGGGAUAUGGGAAUUUGUGAAAUAAAAGGACUUGUGAUGAUGAAGCCAUUGCGGCCGCGAUGAUUUCAUCAUUCAAGUAGGGUACCUCUCUCAGGUAUCAUGUUUUGGGAAAUAAUAUGUAAUGUAGACCAGACGUUGAGCAGGAAAGUUCGCCCGUCUGUGUCGAUUAAGGACCGUUCGAUGUAGGCCUGAUGAGGUGAGACUUUGCAACUAGCCACAUGCUUCGGUAAGCCUGAACCUGGCUAUUCCAUACGUGAAAAGACAAUCGCGCACUGGGCGUGGGAGAUGGUGGGAGUAGCGUGUACCCUCCUGGCU